CAGCUGCAGCUUGAAUGAGCUGAAUUUAUUCUGUGACAGCUCACAGGCAUGCAUAUGAAAGUCCUACCUGUACCUGCCUUUCGGCAAGACAGUCGUUGGGCGAUUUUCAACUACUACACAGCCUGACUCAGUGGUUGCAAGCCACGCAGUAAACAGUGUGCUGGUCAGCCAGACCAGCACAUGCACCAGCAGUUUGCGACCUCUAAGUCCAAUUUUUGUAAUUUUCAGUUUUUGUGAGAACUUUUAAAGAAACUCUAUGGAGAAGCCACACUCUCCAUUUUGUGUGCAUAAGUGAUAUAUUGUGCAUUCAAGGAAAUCUGGCAUGACACUAGUUAUGGAGUUGACAGCUAGCCCUCUGAUAAAGCAAAAAAAAAAAAGUGAUAUAGACCUGUCAGUGCUUCUAAUUUGUGAGUGAUUAUUUCUUUCUGUAAUGCAGGUUUAUGCAGGCAGUGGCUUCUGGUUGGACCAGAAAGCCUGGGACUGCUUGUUUAGUGCCUCGACAGAUUCUAUGUUUUGCAGAAGCGCUGCUACCGUGUUAUGGACGGCAGAGCAAUUAAAGACGAGGAGUGUGACGGGGACACUUUCGAACAAAGCCCGUUCGCUUGGCUACACCGAGGCAAAGCCACCACUCACGCCAGAAAAAAUCUCGUCUCUAAAGGCGAUGCUUGCCAUCUACAUGGGCGACGUGACAAAGGAGGUGGCGGACAAGCGAAUGAAAAUGGUCCGCAAGCAUUUGUCACAAAAGCUUGGUGACGUGCAGCGGCGCUGAAUUGUGUGUAUCAGCCACGGACAUUAAGGUGUUCAAUAAAUCUAUCAGUCGGA